rnacentral:rRNA from 1 species
GACUACCAGGGUAUCUAAGCCUGUUUGCUCCCCACGCUUUCGUGCAUGAGCGUCAGUGCUAGCCCAGGAGGUUGCCUUCGCCAUCGAUGUUCUUCCAUAUCUCUACGCAUUUCACUGCUACACAUGGAAUUCCACCUCCCUCUGCCGCACUCUAGCUCUGCAGUUUCAAACGCAGUUCCCAGGUUAAGCCCGGGGAUUUCACAUCUGACUUACAGAACCGCCUGCGCACCCUUUACGCCCAGUAAUUCCGAUUAACGCUUGCACCCUACGUAUUACCGCGGCUGCUGGCACGUAGUUAGCCGGUGCUUCUUCUGUUGAUACCGUCAUGAACCAUGAUUAUUAGUCACGAUUUUUUCUUUUCAACUGAAAGAGCUUUACAACCCGAAGGCCUUCUUCACUCACGCGGCAUUGCUGGAUCAGGCUUGCGCCCAUUGUCCAAAAUUCCCCACUGCAGCCUCCCGUAGG